UGGGGAUUAUUGGACAAUGGGCGAAAGCCUGAUCCAGCCAUGCCGCGUGUGUGAAGAAGGUCUUCGGAUUGUAAAGCACUUUAAGUUGGGAGGAAGGGCAGUAAGCGAAUACCUUGCUGUUUUGACGUUACCGACAGAAUAAGCACCGGCUAACUCUGUGCCAGCAGCCGCGGUAAUACAGAGGGUGCAAGCGUUAAUCGGAAUUACUGGGCGUAAAGCGCGCGUAGGUGGUUCGUUAAGUUGAAUGUGAAAGCCCCGGGCUCAACCUGGGAGCUGCAUCCGAAACUGGCGAGCUAGAGUAGGGCAGAGGGAGGUGGAAUUUCCUGUGUAGCGGUGAAAUGCGUAGAUAUAGGGAGGAACACCAGUGGCGAAGGCGGCCACCUGGGCUCAUACUGACACUGGGGUGCGAAAGGGUGGGGAGCAAACAGG
rnacentral:rRNA from 1 species